rnacentral:rRNA from 1 species
AUGAACGCUGGCGGCGUGCCUAAUACAUGCAAGUCGAGCGAACAGACGAGGAGCUUGCUCCUCUGACGUUAGCGGCGGACGGGUGAGUAACACGUGGAUAACCUACCUAUAAGACUGGGAUAACUUCGGGAAACCGGAGCUAAUACCGGAUAAUAUAUUGAACCGCAUGGUUCAAUAGUGAAAGACGGUUUUGCUGUCACUUAUAGAUGGAUCCGCGCCGCAUUAGCUAGUUGGUAAGGUAACGGCUUACCAAGGCAACGAUGCGUAGCCGACCGGAGAGGGUGAUCGGGCACACUGGAACUGAGACACGGUCCAGACUCCUACGGGAGGCAGCAGUAGGGAAUCUUCCGCAAUGGGCGAAAGCCUGACGGAGCAACGCCGCGUGAGUGAUGAAGGUCUUCGGAUCGUAAAACUCUGUUAUUAGGGAAGAACAAAUGUGUAAGUAACUAUGCACGUCUUGACGGUACCUAAUCAGAAAGCCACGGCUAACUACGUG